rnacentral:lncRNA from 1 species
AUAGGGAUCUAUGGGGUUUCUAUGGGGUUCUAUGGGGCUCUAUGGGGCUCUAUGGGUCUCUAUGGGGUCUCUAUGGGUCUCUAUGGGAUCUCUAUGGGGCUUUGUGGGGCUCUGUGGGUCUUUAUGGGGUCUCUAUGGGGCUCUAUGGGGCACUGCUGGGCACUAUGGGGUCUCUAUGGGGCUCUGUGCAGCUCUAUGGGGUUUCUAUGGGGCAGAAUGGGUCUCUACAGGAUCUCUAUGGGGCUCUAUGGGGUCUCUAUGGGGUUCUGUGGGGCUCUGUGGGGUCCCACCCCACACUUAUGGGGGUCCCAACCCAAACUUAUGGGUCCCACCCCACACUUAUGGGUCCCCACCCCACACUUGGGGGUCCCACCCCAAACUUAUGGGUCCCACUGCACACUUAUGGGUCCCACCCCACACUUGGGGGUCCCAAGCCAAAACUUAUGGGUCCUCACCCCAAACUUAUGGGUCCCACUGCACACUUAUGGGUCCCACCCCACACUUGUGGAUCCCACCCCACACUUAUGGGGGUCCCAAGCCAAAACUUAUGGGUCCCACUGCACACUUAUGGGUCCCACCCCAAACUUGUGGGUCCCACCCCACACUUAUGGGUCCCACCCCACACUUGGGGGUCCCACCCCACACUUAUGGGGUCCCAGCCCACACUUAUGGGUCCCCACCCCACAAGCUCCUGUCGGGACACGUCGCUCCCCUGUCGCGUUGGGGCGUCAACCCCAUAAGUUCCCCCCCACACACACCCCACACCCCACACCCCACACCCCACACCCUACCCUACAGCUAUGGGGCGGCGCUUAUGGGGCCGAGGGGAGGCGUCGCGACCCCCCGCCCGCCCCACAUUUCACCCCAUUGAAGCUGUCCCUAUGCUGACCCCAUAAGCGGGGGAGGUGGGGGAACCCGUCGGGUGACUCCCGGCUCCGCCCCACACAUCCCCACCCCAGAAAUGUGGGGUGAAAUCGGUGGGGCUGAGAGAGGCCGGGAUCCCAUGGGCGCCCCACAGAUCGCCUUCCUCUUCCUCCUCUGCCUCUUCUUCAUCCUCGUCCCGAAAUCCGCCCCGCUGCCCCACUGCGAUGGGGACGGCUGGGAGAACGCAGCGCACGCAGGUGGGUGUGGGGCUGCCCCAUAAGUGUGGGGCCGCCCCANNNNNNNNNNNNNNNGGGGGGAAGGUGGGAAGAUGUGGGGCAGACCUACGUCUAUGGGGCGGCGUUGGGGACGUGGGGGCGCUAUGGGGCAGGGUGAGAUCUAUGGGGUU